rnacentral:rRNA from 1 species
AAUCCAGACUCCUACGGGAGGCAGCAGUGGGGAAUAUUGGGCAAUGGGCGCAAGCCUGACCCAGCAACGCCGCGUGAAGGAAGAAGGCUUUCGGGUUGUAAACUUCUUUUCUCAGGGACGAAGCAAGUGACGGUACCUGAGGAAUAAGCCACGGCUAACUACGUGCCAGCAGCCGCGGUAAUACGUAGGUGGCAAGCGUUAUCCGGAUUUACUGGGUGUAAAGGGCGUGUAGGCGGGAAAGCAAGUCAGAUGUGAAAACCAUGGGCUCAACCUGUGGCCUGCAUUGGAAACUGGCGGGCUGGAGUGCCGGAGAGGUAAGCGGAAUUCCUAGUGUAGCGGUGAAAUGCGUAGAUAUUAGGAGGAACACCAGUGGCGAAGGCGGCUUACUGGACAGUAACUGACGUUGAGGCUCGAAAGCGUGGGGAGCAAACAGGAUUAGAUACCCUUGUAC